CCGGCGACCGGCGCACGGGUGAGUAACACGUAUGCAACCUGCCCGUGGCAGGGGGAUAAGCGGGGGAAACCCCGUCUAAUACCGCGUAACGCGGCCUAGGGACAUCCCAAGGCCGCCAAAGGGAGCAAUCCUGGCCACGGAUGGGCAUGCGGCGCAUUAGCUAGUCGGCGGGGUAACGGCCCACCGAGGCGACGAUGCGUAGGGGUUCUGAGAGGAAGGCCCCCCACACUGGUACUGAGACACGGACCAGACUCCUACGGGAGGCAGCAG
rnacentral:rRNA from 1 species